ACGACAUAUAGCAUCAGGUUUAGAUUCUAAGCGCUCUGGUAACAGGUCAUGAGCACUCUCAGGGCCUCUGGUGGUUGAUCUGCAAUAUCAACAUCCCCCUCCAGUGCAGGUGGUUCAUCAUCAUUCCCCUGAAGAGGGUCAGGUGGUUUAUAUGGUAUAUAUAUGGUUUUCUUUCUUUAUCUUGGAGCUGGAGUCUCGAGCUGAGGACGAGAAGCAAAACUGAUUAGAGGAGUUCUCUAAGCAUUUCAGUGAAUAUCAUCACCGAAAGAAGGAAUACAUAUCCAUCGAUGAACCUACAGAGCAAUGAAGCCAUACAAAAAUUUAGUGUCAAGAAAUCCCACUUCAACGGGUCUUCCUCUAAUUAUACCCUCUUCGGUCUCAGCGUAAAGAAUAUAUAGACUCUGGCAAUUCAUGAAUUGUUGAAAUGUAUCAGCUGGAAAGAACAAUAGUGCAAUUUAAUGCAGUAUCAAUAAGAGUCAUACAAAGGAGAGCAAGUCCCAAGUCAAGAGCUGCCACAUUCGUGAAGGAGAGACUCCCACAUCGAAAACAAGUGAACAAAACCGUGGUUUAAAUAAAAAGGCACGUGUUGAUGGUUUACGACCUUACUUGAACAGGAUCUGUUCUAUAGGAUCGUACCUCUAUAUCCUUGACUUCUAAGGAGACAGGAAUCUAACCUUGGUGGAUGAAUCAUAGCCACGCGAUCAGAGCGUGACUAACGGUCUGAUGAUCCUUGGGUCACCAUAGCUGUAGAUGAUCGUUCUCAGCUUGGUAAGACCAAGCUUGGGGUGGUCGCUUGGCUGUCUGACA
rnacentral:snoRNA from 1 species